rnacentral:lncRNA from 1 species
GAUGAGGGAAAAGGAGAUGACCCUGAUGAUGAGGAUGACAAUCUACUGGAUGAUGAUCUAGGAGGGUCAAAUGGAGCGGAGGAAGAUCAGGAUCGAGGCAAGGAGGACAAGGCAAAAGACAAAGAAGAGGAAGACACUAACAAAAAGCAGACACCAAGUAAAACCCAAGGUACCUCGCAAAAAACAAGUUUAGUGAGAAGAGCUCUCCUGCUGUUUGAUGAAAAUCUGGAAAAGGGUCUAGUGGAAGGGGAAAAGGAUAUUCCUACGUGUGUGAAUAUGUUGCAAGCUAUGGAACUUAAUAAGUCCGAUGAGUAAAAGGAGACCCAUGAUAUGAUAGAUGAGGACGAAUAAAUGAUAUCACUACCGGAGGAAUGGACAUACUUAGGUGUUAGUUUGUUUGAAAUAGAGGGAGCAAGUCAAGAUCAAGAGAUCUCUCAAGCCCAAAACGGCGAUGAUGAUGCUAGCAUUCAAGAAGACAAAAACACCAAGGGGCAGUAAGAAGCUGAAGAUGACUUAAAAAAGAAGAAGAAAUUGGGUCCUGCAGUUGUGGAAAGGAAAAGCAAAAGAAAUAUUGAUGACGGCAGGUCCAUACUGGAAAAGGCCCAAGACAGCAAGAGGAAGUGGAAUGAAGAAGUACUUACAGGUAACAUAAAACAGAAACCUGUGCAUGUUUCCUUAUUUAAGUAAUACUGCUUCUGUUAUAGGAAUAGUAAAUACGGAUGGAAAUUCUAUUAGUAGUGAUAUAAUUAGGGGUUACAAGUAAUUGAGGAGCAAAGAAACAAAGGUUUUAGUGACAGUUGUAAUCAGGGUGGAUGUAACCCAGUAGAUAAAGGAGCCAGUGUAGGGGAGGAUAGUAGAUCUGAUUUACUAGAACUAAAAGUACAAAUAAUUAUAGACAGAGUAAGGGAAGCAAAGAGAAAUAGGAAAAAAAAUCCAAAUGAUAGGCUUAUUUUGGAAUAUUAGAGGCCUGGGAAAAAUAGGAAG